AUUGAACGCUGGCGGCAGGCCUAACACAUGCAAGUCGAACGAGUGGCGGACGGGUGAGUAAUGUCUGGGAAACUGCCUGAUGGAGGGGGCUAACUACUGGAAACGGUAGCUAAUACCGCAUACCAUCAGAUGUGCCCAGGUGGGUUUAGCUUGUCGGGGGGGUAACGACUCACCAAGGCGACGAGCCCUAGCUGGUCUGCGAGGAGGACCAGCCAAACUGGAACUGAGACACGGUCCAUACUCCUACGGGAGGAAGCAGGGGGGAAUAUUGCACAACGGGCGAAAGACUGAGGGAGCCAUGCCGCGUGUAUGAAGAAGGCCAUCGGGUUGUAAAGUACUUUCAGCGGGGAGGCGUUACCCGAAGAAGAAGCACCGGCUAACGCCGUGCCAGCAGCCGCGGUAAUAC
rnacentral:rRNA from 1 species